rnacentral:rRNA from 1 species
UGGGGAAUUUUGGACAAUGGGCGAAAGCCUGAUCCAGCAAUGCCGCGUGUGUGAAGAAGGCCUUCGGGUUGUAAAGCACUUUUGUCCGGAAAGAAAUCCUUGGCUCUAAUACGGUCGGGGGAUGACGGUACCGGAAGAAUAAGCACCGGCUAACUACGUGCCAGCAGCCGCGGUAAUACGUAGGGUGCAAGCGUUAAUCGGAAUUACUGGGCGUAAAGCGUGCGCAGGCGGUUUGCUAAGACCGAUGUGAAAUCCCCGGGCUCAACCUGGGAACUGCAUUGGUGACUGGCAGGCUAGAGUAUGGCAGAGGGGGGUAGAAUUCCACGUGUAGCAGUGAAAUGCGUAGAGAUGUGGAGGAAUACCGAUGGCGAAGGCAGCCCCCUGGGCCAAUACUGACGCUCAUGCACGAAAGCGUGGGGAGCAAACAGGAUUAGAUACCCUGGUAGUCCACGCCCUAAACGAUGUCAACUAGUUGUUGGGGAUUCAUUUCCUUAGUAACGUAGCUAACGCGUGAAGUUGACCGCCUGGGGAGUACGGUCGCAAGAUUAAAACUCAAAGGAAUUGAC